ACCUUGACGAUUAUGAUUUCAAGCUUGAUUACACUUACUAUAGCGCAAUCUAGCGCCCUAUGCAUGCGUCAAGCACUAGGAAGUGCAAUCGAUCUUGAAAUCAUGGUCACGCCUAGAGACUACAAUGGCAAGAUGUACAGUGAAAAGUAGUUAUAUUUUGGUCUGUUCUCACCCAAAACCAACGGGAUCACUUCAGAAGACACUGAUUAAACCACUGGAGUCAUAUUGAUUACUUUUAUUCUGACUUUACCUCCUUUUUGGAGCUUUUGGAGUUUUGGACACUAUUUACUUGCAUUCACUUGUAUUCACUUGUAUGGACCUACAGAGUUGACAUAGUCUUUUUUAAAAUCUACGUUUGUGUUAAGCAGAAAAAAGAAAGUCAUACACAUCUGGGAUGGCAUGAGGCAUUUGCAACUUUGCCUUGCAACAUCUGGCAACACUAAGACAGACCCUCUUUCCCUCUCACAUCGCCAGUAGAUGACAUCCCAAAAUAAGCAGCAGACUGUCUGAGCCUAACCUUAGCAGACAGUUUCCAUGACAACUAAUGUGACCUGCCGCUAGUUGUCCCCAGAACACAGAUGACAUUGUUUUAGUCACGGUUUCCCAGCAAAGCCAAAGACUCACAAGCCUGGCGGAUCAGAAUUCAGGAAAAAAAUCAGAUGGGACACAGUCCAGACCCCUGUUAAGCCAUGCUCAUACUGCCAGUGACUCACAACAACAACAUAGCGACCUGAUUGCAUUAAUUUAAAGUAAGGGUGGUGACUUCCGGUGACAGCGACCAUGGGAGAGAGGGAGAGAGGAUGUGGGCGAGUCCAGUAACACUACAAAGUUGAGAAAACUUUAACUUUAUGCAAAUGAGGAGUGACAUUCAGAAGCAACUGCCAAUGGGAGUGAAGUCAGUGGAGCUCAUGUUAUCCAUCUAUUGACCUAUGAUAUAUAGGCUAGCAGCCUCAAGUGACUCAUGGAGGGAACAUUCAGGAUGGAAUAUUCUUUCAUACUCUGUUUUAUGGUAAACAAUUGCUUGCACACAAUCCGAAGCCAGAUGAUCUUUUGAGUAACAUCUGGCUUCGAACUACAGCAGAACAAAAGCAAUUCUUUUUAAAGGGUUAGAUGACUAAGAGAUGAUCCGCUUGUAUCUGGACAGAAUGAAUGAUGGUAUUAUGGCUGGAUGAUAUUAAGAGCUCUAUCAAGAGAGGGAUGAGAUGUUGACAGGGCUAAAGACAAGAGCCGUUGAAGGUUAAACACAGAUCUCUAGAAGCACUCACUUCAUUUUAAACAGGGAAGAUGCAGACAUUGGACCACAUGGGAGGAGAUUAACAAUGAGUGUGGGAACAUUUCACACAUACACAUGACUGUCCACGUGAGAGAGACAAGAGGAUCAUGGGAGAGGUUGGCUAGUUCAACCGCAAAAUCAGGCAUAAGUGGAAACGAGUUUCUAGGUGCUGUGAUGGACUGGCCACCUGUCCAGGGUGUUUCCCUGCCUUUGCCCGAAGCAGCUGGGUCCUUGUGAUGGCGUAGUGACUGAAUCUGGGUGGUGGAGGACGAAUCUCAGUUGCAUUUUAUCAUGUGGCUCUCGUUGCCACAGAGACCUAGCACGUGUGGAGGCUUCAAGCUUUUCUCCACGGCAUCUACGCACAACUCACCACGUGCCCCACCGAGAGCAAGAACCACAUUAUUGCGACCACGAGGAGGUUACCCCUGUGUAAAUUUACCCACCCUAGCUACCAGGCCAAUUGGUUGCUUAGGAAGCCGGACUGGAAUCACUCAGCACACCCUGGAUUUGAGCUUGCGAUUCCAGAUGUGGUAGUCAGCGUCUUUACUUCCUGAGCUACACAGGCCCCCUCCUAUCUUACCUUUCAAUUGAAUUAAAUUCAAUUCCAUUUAUUUGAUUUUUGUAUAUAGUUUUUCACAAUACAUGUUGUUCCAAAGCAGCUUUACAAAGAGCCCCAUAGUGAGCAAGCCAAAGGUGAAAGGGGCAAAGAAAAACUCCCAAAGAAACAAUUUGAAAUACACUUUUUGGUGCAAUUCAUUGCAGGGCUGUAAGGAUUUUUAAUGCUGGCACAAUCAGAUUUUCACUUGCUCUACCAAUACUUUUACUGAUACCACUUCAAAAAAAGAUUAUUAUUAUUUUUUAUUUUUUUUUAGCAACAAAUUUUCUUACAUUCUUACAGUAUGUAAGAAAAAUAUUUAAAAUAUUUAAGUUUUCUUUACAAAAAUAGGGAUAAUAAAUAAUUUGUUAGAUUUUAAAUUUGGAAUAAUAGCUGUAAAUUCAUUCAUAAACACACCUUUGCUGGAAAAUUAUGAACUACUGGGCAAAUAUUCCUUAAAUGAACAGUUCACCCAAAAAUGAUAAUUCUCUCGUCAUUUACUCACCUUUGUGCCAUUUCAAACUCAUAUGACUUUCUUUCUUUUGCGUAACACAAACGAAGAUAUUUAGGACAUAAAGUCAGAAUAAAGGUAAUCCAUACGACUCAUGUGGUUUAAUCCAUGUCUUCUGAAGCGAUACAACACAUUUUUGCGUGAACUAUACGAAAGUGAUACGAUAGGUUUUUGGGUGAAAUGACUAAGUUCAGGCAUAAAACUCUGAAGGUUGCAAGCUGAUCUGUAAGCCAGUCAGCUAGCUCACAUGUAAUAUGUCAAGCCAAUCUGCUCGCAUGGUAGGUCCUUUGACGUGUAAUCCGGUAGCCAAACAACUCUUUGCCAAACAUUAAAAUUUGCUCAGUCUGCAAGUAAGCUGGUUUCACUGCAGCACACUGAGAGAGUUUUCUCUGAAAUCCCUCUCCUCCCCAGCUCCAACUGUCUAGAUCUGCUACAUGGGGAUUGUAUUUAUGUCUAAUUGUGCAGCAGCAUGUCCACAUGUGUGGCGAGUGUAUGUUGUUAGACUAGUUUAUUGAAAUAAUUAUUAACUAGUGGUAUUAAUUUAAGGGUAUUUUAUUUUGAAAUUAUUUGUAAGAAAUUACACUUGAGUCAUCUAUGGUCAUGUGAUCAUAAGUAUAAUAUGUUGCGUUAUUUUCAUUUCUUUAUAUAUGUAUAUUUGUAUUUCUGUGUUAUUGUUUUUGUUUUAUCCUUUUUAUAAAAUUGUUAAUCUAUAUAAAAUGUUAAGGAAGCGCCAUUACGUAAGUUACGUCAUGUGUAAGCGUGAGGGUAAAGCUGAUGUAAGUUCUGGGCGCUCUCUCUUUCGCGGGAUGUCAUGGCGAUGAGAGGUAUGUCUUUAUCAGCUCCUCGAAGAAGUGCUUAAAUAUUGUUAAUUGCUCAUCAUUUAUGUAUUUCUUUGUGUGAAAUGCAUUUGUAUGUUAACUUUUCUUUAAUGAGAGACUAGUAAUCCAAGUUGUUAAAGUUGUAAGAGUAUGUUUAAUCGAAGUAUGAAUUCAGGUAAUGGCCGCUGUUGCACGUGCAGUAUGUUAAUGUGUUUCAUUAUAGAACAAUGUAUUUUUCAUUAAAACAGAGUUACAGUUUCAUUUGUGUUAUGAUUUGUACAUUUGUAAUUGUGUCAAGUUGUAACUGUUUUUCUUGAAUGAUCCAUGCGAUGUUUAAAUGUAUGUUCUGCUAUAUGAACAUACAAUGAGACAUUAUGUAAUGAUCGACAGGCACGGCUAGACCAGAGAUUCUCCUUGUUAGAAGUGUCUGAUGGUGUCUGUUAUGUUUUCAUACAGAAACUGAGAAGCCGAAAGUAAAUCA